AUUGAACGCUGGCGGCAUGCUUUACACAUGCAAGUCGAACGGUAACAGCACUUCGGUGGCUGACGAGUGGCGAACGGGUGAGUAAUACAUCGGAACGUGCCUAGUAGUGGGGGAUAACUACUCGAAAGAGUAGCUAAUACCGCAUGAGAUCUAAGGAUGAAAGCAGGGGACCUUCGGGCCUUGCGCUACUAGAGCGGCUGAUGGCAGAUUAGGUAGUUGGUGGGAUAAAAGCUUACCAAGCCGACGAUCUGUAGCUGGUCUGAGAGGACGACCAGCCACACUGGGACGGAGACACGGCCCAGACUCCUACGGGAGGCAGCAGUGGGGAAUUUUGGACAAUGGGCGCAAGCCUGAUCCAGCAAUGCCGCGUGCAGGAUGAAGGCCUUCGGGUUGUAAACUGCUUUUGUACGGAACGAAAAGCCCUCUUCUAAUACAGGAGGGUCAUGACGGUACCGUAAGAAUAAGCACCGGCUAAUUACGUG
rnacentral:rRNA from 1 species